rnacentral:rRNA from 1 species
AGUGAACGCUGGCGGUAGGCCUAACACAUGCAAGUCGAACGGCAGCACAGUAAGAGCUUGCUCUUACGGGUGGCGAGUGGCGGACGGGUGAGGAAUACAUCGGAAUCUACUUUUUCGUGGGGGAUAACGUAGGGAAACUUACGCUAAUACCGCAUACGACCUACGGGUGAAAGCAGGGGAACUUCGGACCUUGCGCGAUUGAAUGAGCCGAUGUCGGAUUAGCUAGUUGGCGGGGUAAAGGCCCACCAAGGCGACGAUCCGUAGCUGGUCUGAGAGGAUGAUCAGCCACACUGGAGCUGAGACACGGUCCAGACUCCUACGGGAGGCAGCAGUGGGGAAUAGUAGACAAUGGGCGCAAGCCUGAUCCAGCCAUACCGCGUGGGUGAAGAAGGCCUUCGGGUUGUAAAGCCCUUUUGUUGGGAAAGAAAAGCAGCAGGUUAAUACCCCGCUGUUCUGACGGUACCCAAAGAAUAAGCACCGGCUAACUUCGUG